rnacentral:rRNA from 1 species
GACGAACCGUGCGAACGUUAUUCGGAAUCACUGGGCUUAAAGGGUGCGUAGGCGGCGCGGAAAGUUGGGUGUGAAAUCCCUCGGCUCAACCGAGGAACUGCGCCCAAAACUACCGUGCUCGAGGGAGAUAGAGGUGAGCGGAACUUAGGGUGGAGCGGUGAAAUGCGUUGAUAUCCUAAGGAACACCGGUGGCGAAAGCGGCUCACUGGAUCUUUUCUGACGCUGAGGCACGAAAGCUAGGGUAGCGAACGGGG